AUUGAACGCUGGCGGAAUGCUUUACACAUGCAAGUCGAACGGCAGCACGGACUUCGGUCUGGUGGCGAGUGGCGAACGGGUGAGUAAUGUAUCGGAACGUGCCCAGUCGUGGGGGAUAACGUAGUGAAAAUUACGCUAAUACCGCAUACGAUCUAUGGAUGAAAGCGGGGGAUCGCAAGACCUCGCGCGAUUGGAGCGGCCGAUAUCAGAUUAGGUAGUUGGUGGGGUAAAGGCCCACCAAGCCAACGAUCUGUAGCUGGUCUGAGAGGACGACCAGCCAAACUGGAACGGAGACACGGUCCAGAAUCCUACGUGAGGCAGCAGUGGGGAAUUUUGGACAAUGGGCGAAAGCCUGAUCCAGCCAUUCCGCGUGCAGGAUGAAGGCCCUCGGGUUGUAAACUGCUUUUGUACAGAACGAAAAGGUUUCUACUAAUACUAGGAGCUCAUGACGGUACUGUAAGAAUAAGCACCGGCUAACUACGUGCCAGCAGCCGCCGUAA
rnacentral:rRNA from 1 species